rnacentral:rRNA from 1 species
AGGACGAACGCUGGCGGCGUGCUUAACACAUGCAAGUGGAGCGACGAACCAGGGCUUGCCCUGGGGCAGAGCCGCGAACGGGUGAGUAACACGUGGGUUACCUGCCUUGAUGACCGGGACAACCCGAGGAAACUCGGGCUAAUACCGGAUGUGCCCGCAAGGGGAAAGGAAGCUUCGGCCUCCGCAUCAAGAUGGGCCCGCGGCCCAUUAGCUUGUUGGUGAGGUAAUGGCUCACCAAGGCUUCGAUGGGUAGCUGGUCUGAGAGGACGAUCAGCCACACUGGGACUGAGACACGGCCCAGACUCCUACGGGAGGCAGCAGUGGGGAAUCUUGCGCAAUGCGCGAAAGCGUGACGCAGCAACGCCGCGUGGGGGAAGAAGGCUUUCGGGUUGUAAACCCCUUUCAGUUGGGACGAAGCUUCUCCGGUGAAUAGCCGGACGGAGUGACGGUACCUUCACAAGAAGCACCGGCUAACUACGUGCAGCAGCCGCGGU